rnacentral:rRNA from 1 species
AAGCUCGUAGUUGAAUUUCGGGCCGGGCGGCGCGGUCUCCCGCAAAGGUAGCACUGCGUGUGCGCGGCCUUUCCUUCUGGUGGUCCCGCGUGCUCUUAGCUGAGUGCGUGGGGGAGCCAGGACGUUUACUUUGAAAAAAUUAGAGUGUUUAAAGCAGGCGCUUGCUUGAAUACUUCAGCAUGGAAUAAUAGAAUAGGACCUUGGUUCUAUUUUGUUGGUUUCUAGGACCGGGGUAAUGAUUAAUAGGGAUAGUUGGG